rnacentral:rRNA from 1 species
GACGUAGGAGGCGAGCGUUGUCCGGAUUCAUUGGGCGUAAAGAGCACGCAGGCGGUUUGGCAAGUCGGAUGUGAAAACCCGAAGCUCAACUUCGGGCCUGCAUCCGAAACUGCCCGACUAGAGGUAGGUAGGGGAGAUCGGAAUUCCUGGUGUAGCGGUGAAAUGCGUAGAUAUCAUUUGGAACGCCAAUGGUGAAAACAGGUAGCUGGGGCUGUGCUGACACUGAGACACGAAAGCCAGGGGAGCAAACGGG